rnacentral:rRNA from 1 species
GGGCAGCGGGGAGGAAGCUUGCUUUCUCCGCCGGCGACCGGCGCACGGGUGAGUAACACGUAUGCAACCUGCCCCUGUCAGGGGGACAACCCGCCGAAAGGCGGGCUAAACCCGCGUACAUGCCACCGGGGCAUCCCGGAGGCAGGAAAGGCUUCGGCCGGACAGGGAUGGGCAUGCGGCGCAUUAGGCAGUAGGCGGGGUAACGGCCCACCUAACCGACGAUGCGUAGGGGUUCUGAGAGGAAGGUCCCCCACACUGGUACUGAGACACGGACCAGACUCCUACGGGAGGCAGCAGUGAGGAAUAUUGGUCAAUGGUCGGGAGACUGAACCAGCCAAGCCGCGUGAGGGAGGAAGGUACAGAGUAUCGUAAACCUCUUUUGUCAGGGAACAAAGACUGGGACGCGUCCCCGGAUGAGUGUACCUGAAGAAAAAGCAUCGGCUAACUCCGUGCCAGCAGCCGCGGUAAUACGGAGGAUGCGAGCGUUAUCCGGAUUUAUUGGGUUUAAAGGGUGCGCAGGCGGUCUGCUAAGUCAGCGGUCAAAGCCCGGGGCUCAACCCCGGCCCGCCGUUGAAACUGGCAGUCUCGAGUUGGAGAGAAGUAUGCGGAAUGCGCGGUGUAGCGGUGAAAUGCAUAGAUAUCGCGCAGAACUCCGAUUGCGAAGGCAGCAUGCCGGCUCCACACUGUCGCUGAGGCACGAAAGCGUGGGUAUCGAACAGGAUUAGAUACCCUGGUAGUCCACGCAGUAAACGAUGAAUGCUGGCUGUCCGGGGGGACUGACCCCUGGGUGGCGAAGCGAAAGCGAUAAGCAUUCCACCUGGGGAGUACGCCGGCAACGGUGAAACUCAAAGGAAUUGACGGGGGCCCGCACAAGCGGAGGAACAUGUGGUUUAAUUCGAUGAUACGCGAGGAACCUUACCCGGGCUCAAACGGGGAGUGCCGCAGGCAGAGACGCCUGUUUCCCACGGGACACUCCCCGAGGUGCUGCAUGGUUGUCGUCAGCUCGUGCCGUGAGGUGUCGGCUUAAGUGCCAUAACGAGCGCAACCCCCGCGUGCAGUUGCUAACAGAUAACGCUGAGGACUCUGCACGGACUGCCGGCGCAAGCCGCGAGGAAGGCGGGGAUGACGUCAAAUCAGCACGGCCCUUACGUCCGGGGCGACACACGUGUUACAAUGGGUGGUACAGCGGGAAGCCAGGCGGCGACGCCGAGCGGAACCCGAAAUCCACUCUCAGUUCGGAUCGGAGUCUGCAACCCGACUCCGUGAAGCUGGAUUCGCUAGUAAUCGC